UACGGAAGGCAGCAGUGGGGAAUAUUGCACAAUGGGCGAAAGCCUGAUGCAGCUAUGCCGCGUGUAUGAAGAAGGCCUUAGGGUUGUAAAGUACUUUCAUCGGGGAGGAAAAAACAAAACUAAUAAUUUUAUUUCUUGACGUUACCCGAAAAAGAAGCACCGGCUAACUCCGUGCCAGCAGCCGCGGUAAUACGGAGGGUGCUAGCGUUAAUCAGAAUUACUGGGCGUAAAGAGCACGUAGGUGGUUUUUUUAAAGUCAGAUGUGAAAUCCCUGGGCUUAACCUGGAACUGCAUUUUGAAACUGAAAUACUAGAGUAUCGUAGAGGGAGGUAGAAUUCUAGGUGUAGCGGUGAAAUGCGUAGAUAUCUGGAGGAAUACCUGUGGCGAAAGCGGCCUCCUAAACGAAUACUGACACUGAGGUGCGAAAGCGUGGGGAGCAAACAGGGAUUAGGAUACCCGU
rnacentral:rRNA from 1 species